rnacentral:rRNA from 1 species
AUUGAACGCUGGCGGCAGGCCCAACACAUGCAAGUCGAGCGGAGCGGCGGACGGGCGAGCAAUGCCUCGGAAUCUGACUGGUAGCGGGGGAUAACGUUCAGCACCGGGCGCUCAUACCGCAUACACUCCGAUGAGCCUAGGUCGUAGUAGCGAGUUGGUGGGGGAAAUGCCUCCCAAGGCGACGAUCCGUAACUGGUCUGAGAGGAUGAUCAGUCACACUGGAACUGAGACACGGUCCAGACUCCGACGGGAGGCAGCAGGGGGGAAUAUUGGACAAUGGGCGAAAGCCUGAUCCAGCCAUGCCGCGUGUGUGAAGAAGGUCUUCGGAUUGUAAAGCACUUUAAGUUGGGAGGCGUUACCAACAGAAUAAGCACCGGCUAACUUCGUGCCAGCAGCCGCGGUAAUAC